UAGUCUGGUAUUGCAGAUGAAUUCUGAUACGGACACUGUAAGAGACGAGCUAGAUUUCGAGUUCUUGGGAAACCGAACUGGGCAACCAUACACGGUCCAAACCAACAUAUAUGCUCAUGGUAAAGGUGAUAGAGAACAAAGGGUUAACCUCUGGUUUGAUCCAGCUGCUGAUUUCCAUACAUACACAAUUAUGUGGAACCAUCAUCAUAUUGUGUAAGUCCAGUAUCUAGCUAUAAAUGUGACAUUAAUAAGCAUAUAUGACAUUAAAAUUUGACCAUUUGUGUGGUUUUUCUUAACAGGUUUUAUGUAGAUGAAGUGCCAAUAAGAGUAUACAAGAACAAUGAAGCAAAAAACAUCCCAUACCCAAAAUUUCAACCUAUGGGGGUAUAUUCGACUCUAUGGGAAGCUGAUGAUUGGGCAACAAGGGGAGGACUUGAGAAAAUUGAUUGGAGCAAAGCACCAUUUUUGGCUUAUUACAAGGAUUUUGACAUUGAAGGGUGUCCAGUUCCAGGGCCAGCAAAUUGUGCUAGUAACCCUAGGAACUGGUGGGAAGGUACUGCUUAUCAAGCUCUUAAUGCCAUGGAAGCUAGGAGAUACAGGUGGGUUCGGAUGAACCACAUGAUCUACGAUUACUGCACCGACAAGUCUCGGUACCCGGUCACCCCACCGGAGUGCAUGGCAGGUAUAUGAAGUACUAUCAAGAGUUCCCAUUAUUCCAUAUCCAACUGAACUGUCCAGAAUAUUUGAUAUACCAAUAUGUUACUUGUCAUAUAUACUUUGAUGUAUAUGCCUCCCUUUGUACCAUAAUAGCUAUAUGUAUAUGCUAUAAGAGGGCCAUGCAAAAAUUGGGGUUAUAAAGGGAAAUAAAUUGUGAUCGGGUGUGCAAAUAUUUGAUUUUAAAACUUGUAUUUAUUAUUAUUAUUGUAUUAUCCAAUUCAGAGUUUGCAGGCCUAAGACAAAACUACUUGCUGC
rnacentral:lncRNA from 1 species